rnacentral:rRNA from 1 species
CCUACGGGAGGCAGCAGUGAGGAAUAUUGGUCAAUGGACGAGAGUCUGAACCAGCCAAGUAGCGUGAAGGAUGACUGCCCUAUGGGUUGUAAACUUCUUUUAUAUGGGAAUAAAAUGUUCCACGUGUAGGCUUUUGUAUGUACCAUAUGAAUAAGGAUCGGCUAACUCCGUGCCAGCAGCCGCGGUAAUACGGAGGAUCCGGGCGUUAUCCGGAUUUAUUGGGUUUAAAGGGAGCGUAGGUGGAUUGUUAAGUCAGUUGUGAAAGUUUGGGGCUCAACCGUAAAAUUGCAGUUGAAACUGGCAGGCUUGAGUACAGGAGAGGUGGGCGGAAUUCGUGGUGUAGCGGUGAAAUGCGUAGAUAUCACGAAGAACUCCGAUUGCGAAGGCAGCUCACUGGACUGCAACUGACACUGAGGCUCGAAAGUGUGGGUAUCAAACAGGAUUAGAUACCCGGGUAGUC